GUGCUUAACACAUGCAAGUCGAACGCUGAAGCCAGAAGCUUGCUUCUGGUGGAUGAGUGGCGAACGGGUGAGUAACACGUGAGUAACCUGCCCCUGAUUUCGGGAUAAGCCCGGGAAACUGGGUCUAAUACCGGAUACGACCACUGAACGCAUGUUCGGUGGUGGAAAGUUUUUUCGAUCGGGGAUGGGCUCGCGGCCUAUCAGCUUGUUGGUGGGGUAAUGGCCCACCAAGGCGACGACGGGUAGCCGGCCUGAGAGGGCGACCGGCCACACUGGGACUGAGACACGGCCCAGACUCCUACGGGAGGCAGCAGUGGGGAAUAUUGCACAAUGGGGGAAACCCUGAUGCAGCGACGCAGCGUGCGGGAUGACGGCCUUCGGGUUGUAAACCGCUUUCAGCAGGGAAGAAGCGAAAGUGACGGUACCUGCAGAAGAAGUACCGGCUAACUACGUGCCAGCAGCCGCGGUAAUACGUAGGGUACGAGCGUUGUCCGGAAUUAUUGGGCGUAAAGAGCUCGUAGGUGGUUGGUCACGUCUGCUGUGGAAACGCAACGCUUAACGUUGCGCGUGCAGUGGGUACGGGCUGACUAGAGUGCAGUAGGGGAGUCUGGAAUUCCUGGUGUAGCGGUGAAAUGCGCAGAUAUCAGGAGGAACACCGGUGGCGAAGGCGGGACUCUGGGCUGUAACUGACACUGAGGAGCGAAAGCAUGGGGAGCGAACAGGAUUAGAUACCCUGGUAGUCCAUGCCGUAAACGUUGGGCACUAGGUGUGGGGGACAUUCCACG
rnacentral:rRNA from 1 species